CAGUGGAAGUCAAAAAAGAAUUUAAUGUUACGAGUUUGAGUUUCUUCUCUCUAGUUACAUUUCUUUCUUUUCUCUUUCUCUCUCUCUCUCUCACCAUCACACAGAACAUAGAAGAAUCCAUGGCUGCUUCUUCAUCCUCUAGUGCUUCCUUCUUUGGAGUUCGAGAAGAUGAUCAAUCUCACCUUCUUCCUCUGAAUCCCCCCGCCACCGUCCCUCCUCCUCCUCACCACCAGCCACUGCAGUCUCAGCAACCCCUUGAAGCUCCACCACAGAAAAAGAAGAGAAACCAACCAAGAACUCCAAAUUCCGAUGCAGAAGUGAUAGCUUUAUCUCCAAAGACACUAAUGGCUACAAAUAGAUUCAUAUGUGAAGUAUGCAACAAAGGUUUUCAAAGAGAACAGAAUCUACAACUUCACCGAAGAGGACACAAUCUCCCAUGGAAACUUAAGCAGAAGUCGACCAAAGAAGUGAAGAGGAAAGUGUAUCUUUGUCCGGAGCCCACGUGUGUCCACCAUGAUCCGUCACGUGCUCUCGGAGACCUCACCGGAAUCAAGAAACAUUAUUACCGUAAACACGGCGAAAAGAAGUGGAAAUGCGAGAAAUGUUCUAAGCGUUACGCUGUUCAAUCGGAUUGGAAAGCUCACUCAAAGACUUGUGGUACCAAAGAAUAUCGUUGCGACUGUGGUACACUCUUCUCCCGGCGAGAUAGUUUCAUUACACAUAGAGCCUUCUGUGACGCGUUGGCUCAAGAGAGUGCGAGACACCCAACUUCUUUGACUUCUUUACCAAGUCAUCACUUCCCGUACGGACAAAACACCAACACCAACUCCAACAACAACACUUCAAGCAUGAUGCUUGGUUUGUCCCACACGGGGGCCCCACAGAAUCUUGAUCAUCGCUCUGGCGACGCUCUCCGACUUGGAGGAGGAGUAGGUGGAGGAGCCGCCUCACGCUCUUCAUCUGAUCUGAUUGCUGCAAAUGCUUCAGGUUACUUCGUGCAAGACCAAAACCCUAGCUUUCAUGAUCAACAACAAGGAUUUUUGGCUGCAAGCAAUAACAUCAAGCCAUCACCAAUGAAUUUUCAACAGAGUCUGAUGCAGUUCUCGCAUGAUAGCCAUAACUUUCCUUCCUCCAAUCUCUUCAAUCUCAGUUUCCUCUCUGGAAACAGCGGAGUUACUUCUGCUACAAGAAACUCUAAUGCUGCUGCUGUUUCUUCGGGUAAUCAUAUGAUCUCGAACCAUUUUGAUGGCGAAAAUGCUAUUGGAGGCGGAGAAGGAAGCACGGGCCUCUUCCCUAACAAUCUGAUUAGCUCGGCGGACAGAACCAGCUCAGGAGCAGUGCCUUCCCUCUUUGGCUCAUCAAUUCAAAAUCCCAAUUCAACACCUCACAUGUCAGCCACUGCUCUUCUUCAAAAAGCUGCUCAAAUGGGUUCAACCUCAAGCAGCAACAACAACAACAAUAAUAGUAACAAUGCCUCAUCCAUUCUAAGAAGCUUUGGGAGUGGAAUGUACGGAGAAAACGAGAGUAAUCUUUAUGAUUUGAUGAACUCUUUCUCUAACCCCGGUCCAACGGGAAACAACGCUAGUGGAGUACAUUCUCCGUUUGGUUCGUACGGAGGAGUGAACAAAGGUUCGAACGCUGAUAAACAAAGCAUGACUAGAGACUUUCUUGGAGUUGGACAGAUCGUAAGAAGCAUGAGUGGAAGUGGAGGGUUUCAACAACAGCAUGGCAAUAGUAGAGAAAGAGUUGGCUCUUCGUCCGAUUCUGUCGAUAGAAACAGCACGAAUUUGAAUCCUGGUGGUGGUCCGGCAACUUCACCACCGUAUGGAAUCCAUCAUGCUAGUUGCUAGCUAGGGAGGGGAGAGGGAAUAUUUUAAACUGUUGCAUAUGUAUCUUAAAUUUCUGUGCACCAGUAAAAUUCCAACAUUCGUUAGUCAGACGAAGUCCGAUCAAAUACGGGUGUCGUAGGGUGUCGUAGGCGCUAGGAAUAUAAACUCGCUAUGCCCCCACAGUAUGGACAACAUACAAGUGAUUCAAGUAAGGAGGCCCAUCGACAUGCAAACAGAAGGAGAGAUGGUAGCGUUGUCUCACCAAAAACAGACAGCUUUUUAUUUUUUAAGUUGCCUUAAAAAAAAAGAAGAGAACUCCUUUUUAUAAUUAUAAUACAUCUUAAGUCAUCAUAUCCAAAAUGAAUACACUUGAAGAAAUUGUAAAUUUAAACCAUUUUGUGUAAAAUAAAUUGUUUAUGAUCGGAUAUUGGCCUCCAGAAUAAAUUGCAUACUACGUA